rnacentral:rRNA from 1 species
UAUGGUAAUUGUGCAGCGCCGCGGUAAUACGUAGGGGGCAAGCGUUAUCCGGAUUUACUGGGUGUAAAGGGAGCGUAGACGGCAAGGCAAGUCUGAUGUGAAAACCCAGGGCUUAACCCUGGGACUGCAUUGGAAACUGUCUGGCUCGAGUGCCGGAGAGGUAAGCGGAAUUCCUAGUGUAGCGGUGAAAUGCGUAGAUAUUAGGAAGAACACCAGUGGCGAAGGCGGCUUACUGGACGGUAACUGACGUUGAGGCUCGAAAGCGUGGGGAGCAAACAGG